rnacentral:misc_RNA from 1 species
UUCGUUGUUGUUUAUCACGUUUAUAUUAUUAGUACAAGGAAAACCUAACCUAUGCAAGAUUUUGAGAUUGAUUAUUAUUAUUUAUUCAUGUUUUUUGUACAUCAAUUGCUUUAUUUCAUUUUAAUUUUGUGACAACUUUAUUUUAUGGUAAGCAAUUGAUAUAUUCCAUCUUUUACAUCAUAUGAUGUGUACAGAAGUACAGCUUAACAUUGCUUUUGCCUGCAAGCAGGAAGAUGAAAGAAUCAGGAAGAACAGGCUUGUUUUGCUGAAGAAAAUUUCAGAUCUGCCAAGAGGCAUAGCGGACCUCUCAGUUUUGCCUGGAUUCUAGAUUUUGUCAACCAUUCAUCAGUAAAGCAUACUUUUAGGUGAGAAGGAAGGGUGAGAGAGAAUAAGAUAAAGAAUAUGCAACUAAUUUGGGAGAUUUUUGCAGGAUUUUGGUAAGUCCCAGAGCAUAGAAGUAUGGAAGGAAGCUUGGAAAGGUCGAAGGAUUGAGA